rnacentral:rRNA from 1 species
UACGUAGGGUGCAAGCGUUGUCCGGAAUUAUUGGGCGUAAAGAGCUCGUAGGCGGUCUGUCGCGUCUGGUGUGAAAAUCCAGGGCUUAACCCUGGACCUGCAUCGGGUACGGGCAGACUAGAGUGCGGUAGGGGAGAUCGGAAUUCCUGGUGUAGCGGUGAAAUGCGCAGAUAUCAGGAGGAACACCGGUGGCGAAGGCGGAUCUCUGGGCAUUAACUGACGCUGAGGAGCGAAAGCAUGGGGAGCGAACAGG